rnacentral:rRNA from 1 species
CUGAUCAGCCAUGCCGCGUGAGUGAAGAAGGCCCUAGGGUCGUAAAACUCUUUCGCCAGAGAUGAUAAUGACAGUAUCUGGUAAAGAAACCCCGGCUAACUCCGUGCCAGCAGCCGCGGUAAUACGGAGGGGGUUAGCGUUGUUCGGAAUUACUGGGCGUAAAGCGCACGUAGGCGGAUAAUUAAGUCAGAGGUGAAAUCCCGGGGCUCAACCCCGGAACUGCCUUUGAUACUGGUUAUCUAGAGUUCGAGAGAGGUGAGUGGAAUUCCAAGUGUAGAGGUGAAAUUCGUAGAUAUUUGGAGGAACACCAGUGGCGAAGGCGGCUCACUGGCUCGAUACUGACGCUGAGGUGCGAAAGUGUGGGGAGCAAACAGGAUUAGAUACCCUGGUAGUCCACACCGUAAACGAUGAAUGCCAGUCGUCGGGUAGUAUACUAUUCGGUGACACACCUAACGGAUUAAGCAUUCCGCCUGGGGAGUACGGUCGCAAGAUUAAAACUCAAAGAAAUUGACGGAAGUAACCCU